AAGCGCUUGUGACCAGACUUGCGCCCGGCGGAUCAUCCGGUGUUCUCACCGGUGCACUCCGCCGGGCGCAGGCCAGCAUCGGUUCUCGCGGGGGGACAAAGGUCCCGGGAACGUAGCUCCUCCGGGAGUGUUAUAGCCCGGGGCGUCAUGCCCUCAGCGGGGACCGAGGACCGCGCUUCGGCAAGGAUGCUGGCGUAAUGGUCAUCAGCGA
rnacentral:rRNA from 1 species